rnacentral:rRNA from 1 species
AGUGAACGCUGGCGGUAGGCCUAACACAUGCAAGUCGAACGGCAGCACAGUAAGGGCUUGCUCUUACGGGUGGCGAGUGGCGGACGGGUGAGGAAUACAUCGGAAUCUACUUUUUCGUGGGGGAUAACGUAGGGAAACUUACGCUAAUACCGCAUACGACCUACGGGUGAAAGCAGGGGAUCUUCGGACCUUGCGCGAUUGAAUGAGCCGAUGUCGGAUUAGCUAGUUGGCGGGGUAAAGGCCCACCAAGGCGACGAUCCGUAGCUGGUCUGAGAGGAUGAUCAGCCACACUGGAACUGAGACACGGUCCAGACUCCUACGGGAGGCAGCAGUGGGGAAUAUUGGACAAUGGGCGCGAGCCUGAUCCAGCCAUACCGCGUGGGUGAAGAAGGCCUUCGGGUUGUAAAGCCCUUUUGUUGGGAAAGAAAAGCAGCAGGUUAAUACCCCGCUGUUCUGACGGUACCCAAAGAAUAAGCACCGGCUAACUUCGUG